CAACUGGUCAACUGGUUUUCCUCUUCACAGGUUUUGAUAAAUCUCCCCCAGUGUUUUUGUCAAAAAUGCCACAAAGAUGUCAUUUUGGUAGAAAAUAAAUGAGGUUUCAGCCAAUCAGAGAGCAGCACUGCUCAAAUAGAACUCCCAGGAGUGAGGGGCCGGUGCUGGACACUGUAGGGACGCGGGAAUGUGAAGUCAAAAACAUGACUGUGACUGAUGCACUAUUUCCAGCAUGUGGAGUAGCAUUUCCGGACUUAAAGCGCGAAGUUGGAUGAUGGCCUAGAUUUCCGGACUUACAGCAAGACGUUGGAUGAAGGCCUAGAUUUCCGGACCUACAGCAAGAAGUUGGAUGAAGGCACAGCCCCUCAAAUCACGCACAUACACAGACACAUUUGCCCAAAUUCUAGAGGUAACCUCCUUUAGUAUGCCCAGAGGAAGGGCAAUACAGUAGCCAUGGAUUCCCUACAGGUUUCCUCCCCUCUGGAGGUUUUUCCUGUCCUGAGUUAGUUACUGUACGCUCUUUGUGAGUGAUGGGAGGUUACAAAAAAUCCCCUACACAAACAUUUUAAUAAAUAAUAAAUAAAGUUUCCCUUUUUUAAACUGUUCUUUGACUUGUUCAACUCAUUUAAUUU